rnacentral:rRNA from 1 species
UAGGGAAUCUUCGGCAAUGGACGAAAGUCUGACCGAGCAACGCCGCGUGAGUGAAGAAGGUUUUCGGAUCGUAAAACUCUGUUGUUAGAGAAGAACAAGGACGUUAGUAACUGAACGUACCCUGACGGUAUCUAACCAGAAAGCCACGGCUAACUACGUGCCAGCAGCCGCGGUAAUACGUAGGUGGCAAGCGUUGUCCGGAUGUAUUGGGCGUAAAGCGAGCGCAGGCGGUUUCUUAAGUCUGAUGUGAAAGCCCCCGGCUCAACCGGGGAAGGUCAUUGGAAACUGGGAGACUUGAGUGCAGAAGAGGAGAGUGGAAUUCCAUGUGUAGCGGUGAAAUGCGUAGAUAUAUGGAGGAACACCAGUGGCGAAGGCGGCUCUCUGGUCUGUAACUGACGCUGAGGCUCGAAAGCGUGGGGAGCAAACAGG